rnacentral:rRNA from 1 species
UGGGGAAUAUUGCACAAUGGGCGAAAGCCUGAUGCAGCAACGCCGCGUGAGUGAUGAAGGUCUUCGGAUUGUAAAGCUCUGUCUUUUGGGACGAUAAUGACGGUACCAAAGGAGGAAGCCACGGCUAACUACGUGCCAGCAGCCGCGGUAAUACGUAGGUGGCGAGCGUUGUCCGGAUUUACUGGGCGUAAAGGGUGCGUAGGCGGAUGUUUAAGUGAGAUGUGAAAUACCCGGGCUUAACUUGGGUGCUGCAUUUCAAACUGGAUAUCUAGAGUGCAGGAGAGGAGAAUGGAAUUCCUAGUGUAGCGGUGAAAUGCAUAGAGAUUAGGAAGAACACCAGUGGCGAAGGCGAUUCUCUGGACUGUAACUGACGCUGAGGCACGAAAGCGUGGGUAGCAAACAGGAUUAGAUACCCUGGUAGUCCACGCCGUAAACGAUGAGUACUAGGUGUAGGAGGUAUCGACCCCUUCUGUGCCGCAGUAAACACAUUAAGUACUCCGCCUGGGAAGUACGAUCGCAAGAUUAAAAC